rnacentral:sRNA from 1 species
AGAGUAGCAGUCUUCCGCACAGGAUGUUGUCCAUUCACCUUGGAACCGCCAUCCACAAACCUAGCAACUCUUGGUAGGAUAAAGAAGGUGGUUUUAUGGUAAGGGAUUCCAGUCAACCAGGCUUGUACACAGUCUCCCUUUAUACCAAGUUUGGAGGGUUCAUCAGGUUUUAGGCAUUAUCAUAUAAAGGAAACAACAUCAUCUCCAAAGAAGUAUUACCUAGCUGAAAAACAUGCUUUUGGCUCCAUUCCUGAGAUUAUUGAAUAUCAUAAGCACAAUGCAGCAGGACUUGUCACCAGGCUUCGGUACCCAGUUAGUGUGAAAGGGAAGAAUGCACCCACCACUGCAGGAUUCAGCUAUGAGAAAUGGGAGAUUAACCCUUCAGAACUGACCUUUAUGAGGGAAUUGGGAAGUGGACUGUUUGGAGUGGUGAGGCUUGGCAAAUGGCGAGCCCAGUACAAAGUCGCAAUCAAAGCUAUUCGGGAAGGUGCAAUGUGCGAGGAGGACUUUAUAGAAGAAGCUAAAGUGAUGAUGAAACUGACACACCCGAAGUUAGUGCAGCUUUAUGGUGUGUGCACCCAGCAGAAACCAAUAUACAUUGUUACCGAGUUCAUGGAAAGGGGCUGCCUUCUGAAUUUCCUCCGACAGAGACAAGGUCAUUUCAGUAGAGACGUACUGCUGAGCAUGUGUCAGGAUGUGUGUGAAGGGAUGGAGUAUCUGGAGAGAAACAGCUUCAUCCACAGAGAUCUGGCUGCCAGAAAUUGUCUAGUAAGUGAGGCGGGAGUUGUAAAAGUAUCUGAUUUUGGAAUGGCCA